ACACCCGUGGCGCAAUUGGAUAGCGCAUUAGAUUCCGAUUCUAAAGGUUACAGGUUCAACUCCCGUCGGGUGUGCCA
rnacentral:tRNA from 1 species